UAAUAAUUAUAUCGUAAUUAUUUAAUUCUGUUAUUGUGUAAGUGUACUGUUGUUCUUUUUCGCGUUCGCGCGUGCACGUGGUUACGUACACGUGAGCGUACUAUGGCGUAAGCGUUCGCGUUCGCGAGGAGAUAUUUAACAAUAGUAAUGAUAUCGAUAAUAUUACGCGCGUGAACAAUAAUUUUUGUCCGCGUAUACGAACGUCUCCGAAAAGGCGGGGAAUUUUAUGGGAGGGGAGGGGGGA